rnacentral:lncRNA from 1 species
AAUCUAACCUUCAGGUACAAUGUGUUUCUAGGGGAAAGAAUGCUGGGAUACUCAUGUUUAUUUUCAGCACUAAAAUGUUAUUUCUGCUCCUAAAUUCUGAAGGAUCCAUUGUAUUCUUCUCAGAUUGGCGUAAUUUCUCUUGGACUCAGUGGAAAUCAUAUGCCCAUGGGAGAGAAUCUGGCUGCAUUUGAAUGGAAGACAUUGGAGCAAUACUAAUAAACUUCAGGAACCUUCUGCAUCACUUCCCACUCGAAGAUUUGCUCACUCCUGGAACAGAAUUUUCUUUGGACGGCUGUCCUGGCAAUGGUGACUUAUUCCCCUACUCCACCCACCACUGGUCUUUGUCGCAAGCCUGAGAAAAUGUAGCUGUGCACCUGGGAGUCUGCAGCCAGGACCAGGUAACUGCCUCUAGUUACUUUCUUCUAAAAGGGGUUUACUACUUACAAUGCUUCUUGGAUUGCUCAUGCUUUUAUUUUGCAUUACUAUUUAUGAAAACCUUUGGGCCACAUGUAUAUUGGAUUUAUCCAAGGACUCACAACUUGGCUGUGAAGAGUGAAGAAUGGAAUCUCAACUCACUAUCAACAAUCUCAUAGUUUAUUUUGGUCAGUGUAGCUUUACCACUUUCAAACCACUAGGUUCCAUUUAAAGAUCUGUCUUACUUGAAGCACAUACUUUUAAUAUCAUUCUUUUAAUAUCUUUUAAUAGAGCAUAUUCUUUUAAUAUCUAUUUAAGUAUUUGAUUAAUUAUAAUAAUGAAAGGAUUUUCUAGUUUAGAUAUCUUAUUCAUUUUCUUAGAACCCUAACCAAUAAAAUAAAUCUGGAG